UACAGCCACAUCAGUUUGAAACAUCGUUUCCUGUCCGAUCACCAAAGUUAAGCAAUAUCAAGCCUGGUCAGUACCUAGAUGGGUGACCACUUGAGAAUACCUGGUGCUGUAAG